CUACUUCAAAAAACCACCCUUCUUAUAUCCUGGACCUUGUAUAGUAAGCAUCUAUCUGAACAGAUUCAGAUCAGAGUGAAUGAAGGCAGUGUGGGAUAUGAACGGGACAUCUGGGUACAUUCCACAGAGAGCACACCGCAUACACUCAAGCACUGUGAAGAUCUGCAUGAAGGCAAUAGACAUCCAGAAGUACUGCAUUGGUUUCCCCUGAUACACAAUGCUUGGCAUCCAGGUACACAUGGUGGCCACUGCUUGGGAGCCAGUGUCCAGGAGGAUAGCCAGAAUCACAUGGAACCUCAGAAAGUGCGGUGACCACUUCCGCCUCACAACGAAGAAGUACACCGUCAUAAAUAUCACCAGAAAGAGCCACCCAGGACACAGCGUCAUAGUAUCGAUGAAGGUGUACAGCAGCGAAAACCCUUGCAAGUAAGUGUGCAGCUGGUAGAUCACGUCAGCAUAAGACCACAUGUUGU
rnacentral:lncRNA from 1 species